rnacentral:lncRNA from 1 species
UCCAUGUCAGUUUUAAUAGAUCCCCACGGUGGAAGCCAACUAUAUUUGUUAGAAAUACAAUACGUGACAAUCCCUUAUGGAUAUAGAUUAUUCUUAAGAAACCCUUGCACCGCCUCCUAUAGACCCUUUAUAAGUAUACCAGUAUAACACUAUUGCAUGUCUAGGGUUGAAUUUGAACCCAAGACUUCUAGUUUAACUGAAAGUCAUCCGAUAAGUUAGAUGCUAUCUUUUAUAUAUAUUUUCUCAAAAGAAAAAAAAAUGUUUUUGGAAUAAGAAAAUGACAUUAAGACUAAAACAAUGAGUUCAUGCAUUUAAAAACUACACAGUGUAGUGACAAUCAUUAUACACAUUAGAGAUUGAUACAUAGUGUAGUGACAAUCAUUAUCACAUCAUUGAACAUAGAUUAUGAACUUGAAAGAACUAAUUGAAAUAACCACGAAACAUGAACACUCUUGAUUGACUUAAAAGUACUGAGCCUCUUGAGUAUGUUCUGGCUUUCCUGCUACAUAAUCCAAGAGUCCUUCACCAGCUUUUUCACCAUGAGUGUCACUUGAGAAUUUAGAAACACCUCCAAAGGCAAUUAUUGAUAUCAAGAAGACAGUAGUGGAAGCAAAUAAAGGCCAAAAAUAAGCCAGAAUCGUUAGAAAAUGUGGUGCUGCAUAUAUCACCAAGGAAAAUAAUAUUGAAAUUAAUAUUGCUAUUGUUAUAGGGUAUCUGUAUUUUAGAAGCUUUUCUGAUACAUCCAUGGUUUCUUGAAUUGUACUUUUACUGCAAAGAGGAGGAAGAAGAUUGGGAAAAGGUGAAGAAAGGAAGAGAAUGUGGUGAUUUCUUAGUGUUUGUAAGUAUAAUAUAUGUGAAGAGAUUCUAUGUUUGAAUUAAUGUUCUUAUUGGCUUUUCAAAGUUUGCUUGGUCCAUAUGCAACUUAUUUUCCAAAAGGCAUUUCUAUAUUUCCCAAAUUACCCUUUCAAUAAUAUGUGGUUAAAUCUAUUUUCUUAAUUUAAAAAAUAUAUUAUGGAGUAAAUAUUUAAAUC